rnacentral:rRNA from 1 species
GACGGAGGAUGCAAGUGUUAUCCGGAAUCACUGGGCGUAAAGCGUCUGUAGGUGGUUUAAUAAGUCAACUGUUAAAUCUUGAGGCUCAACCUCAAAAUCGCAGUCGAAACUAUUAGGCUAGAGUAUAGUAGGGGUAAAGGGAAUUUCCAGUGGAGCGGUGAAAUGCGUAGAGAUGUGGAGGAACACCAGUGGCGAAGGCGACUCUUUGGUCUGUAACUGACGCUGAGGCGCGAAAGCGUGGGGAGCAAACAGG